GCAGUGGUGGUGGAGUCUAUGAGGAAGAAUAGGAUAAAAUGACAACGGUGGUAAUGAGAAAUAAUAGAAUGGGAAGAGGAAACCCAACAAUCAUUUGAAGGGCAAAGAGAAUGAAAAGAAGCCAAUAUAGUGCUUCUUUAUUGGAUCUGGUGCCCUGAGUAUAGCAUUUUUAUCUAAGUACACUUGUAAUUUUUUUGAACAGGUUGAUUAAUAAAAUUGUUCAUGAAUUACAUUAGUACUUUGUAUAUUUUCCUUGCUUGUUUUUUACACACAAAGUAAAAUGAAAGCAAAUGUUUCUCACUGGUUGUCUAAUGUUUAACUAAAACUAAAUGGUAUUACGGGGUUGGAUCGUAAUACAAAAAGGCAACUUAUAUUAGUUGACGAACCAAAACAUGUCCUUAGUCUAAUUAGAAAUGAGCAAACCAAUUGAAAGACUAAUAUGUCGUCUAUCAAGUCCAAUUUGAGAGAUGCCUUAUCUUGUGCAUCAAAAUGGAUGACUCCCAAAAGAUAGAGACAUAAAUGUGACUGACUGGACUGGCAGUACAUCGGACAUGACCGAAACAAAAUAGAUCCUAAAUUGGUUUAUGGAUUUAUUCACUUGUGACGUUCAUAAUGUGGCAUACCUAAAUCCUGAGUGUAUGGCAGAUUAUGUAUGUGUGACUCGUACACUUUGAUGUAAGUAAAAUUCAGAGUUCGAAUAGAUAAGAAACCAAAAGUUGGUAUGUUAGGUGUACAACUUUUGUAAUAUGUAGCGUCAUUCAAAAUAGUGGAAUGCAUAGCCCAAAACAUGGGUAAAUGAUAUCCUCUCAUUGGCAUUACAUAGUUGAUGAAAAGUAAACGUGAUCACGGGUUGUCUGUCUUUGUGAUAUAUAACUUGAUCACUAUUUGAUAGUGAUUGACUUUUCAUGAAGGAAGAUGUAAUGAUUACCAUGAGAUAAAAUAGGAUCAUUGGAAGAAUGAAUAUUAACCCAAAGAGAUCAAGGAUAUCCUAUGAGGGUAACUUACUUAUAACAAGGUCAUUGGAUGAGCAUUGAUCAAGUUACUUUCGUAAUGGUAUGUCGUUGAAGAGAGCUCAAUCACGAUACUAUAGUGGAAUAACUUCGUGACUAAAUGAGUUUAUAAUCAAUAGAAAAAAAGCCAGAACUUAAUUAUAAAUCAUUUGAGCCUCAACUACAUAUAUCCAAUUGAUCCCUCCAUUAGCUCAUUGAAACCAUAAAUGAAUUGUGUGUUUAAAUAGAAACGAACAGAAUGAAUAGGAAAAGAGAAAUGAGAAAUGUUCAGGAAUGAUUAUGGUUUUCUUCGAAAUGGAGAAAUGGAAUCAUUUGAAAAUGAAUAUAGGUUUCAAAAAAUGGAAACGGAAAUGAAAAUGAAAAUGGAAAUAAUCCAUUUGCAAUCCUAUAUGGAUUACUUAAAAAUGAUCGGAAGAAUAAAUUUAUGUUUUUGGACUGCUUUGAAGCCCAAAAAUGAAAAUAAACCAUUUGGUCAUAGUGAACAUGUUGAAUUGUGAAAUAUUAAACAUAUUUUCUCGAAAUUUUCUAGGGGAAAAAUCAUCAAAAUUUUACUAGAGGUAAAAUUGUCAAAUUUUUGCUAGGGGUAAAAUAGGGAUGAAAAAAUUGUUUUAUAUAUAAAUAUUAAAGUUUAUUUUGGGAAAUAGAAAAACUAAAUCGGGUUGGAUCACAUUAUAGAGUACUGGGUCAAAAAAGCUUAGGAAGUACUUGUAAUUGGACCCAAUGUGAGAGAGGCCCAAAAACCACUCAUAGACAUAAAGGGGGCAGUAACUCUAGGAGGAAACUAAGGUGUGUCGUCUACCUUAGUACUAUUCUAAAUAAGAUUUUGUUUUUCUAUUUGAAAUAAACCACUACAACUCAACAAUGGUUCUACCUUAUCUUCCUAUAAAUAUAUGGCACUUGUUUAAUAAAAAUAUCUAUUCAUUAUAGUAACACCCUUUGUAUAUUGUCCUUAAUGUUUUUGCAUGCAAAACAAAGUGGAAGCAAAUAUUGACUUACUGUUUAUCUUACAUUUAACUAAUACUAAGCGGUAUCACAUGGCCGAAUUGUAAUACAGAUUGAUGGCUUGUAUUAGUAGAUGAAGCUAAACAUAUCUUUAGUCUAAUUGAAAAUGAGCAAACCGAUUGAAAGACUAAUAUGUUGUCUAUCAAGUCCAAUUGGGGAGAUGCUAUGUCUUGAGCAUUAAAGCGGAUGUCUCCUAGAAGAUAGAGACAAAAGUGACUGAUUGGACUAACAGUACAUUAGACAAGACCCAAGUAGAAGAAAUCCUAAAUUAGUUUAUGGCUUUAUUCACUUUUGACAUUCAUAGAAUGACAUACCUUAAUCAUUAAUGGAUGAUGAACUAUUUAUACGCGACUCGUAUAAUUUGAUGUAAGUAAAAGCCUAAGUUAAAAUAUAUAAGGAAUCGAAAGUUGGUGCAUUGGGUAUACGACUUCUGCAAUAUAUAGUAUCAUUCACAAUAGUGAAAUUCGUAGCCUAAUUAAUGGGUAAAUGAUAUCUUCUCAUCGAUAUUUCAUAUUAGAUGAAAAGUAAACAUAGCCACCGGUCGUUUGACUUUUUGAUAAAUGACUUUAUUACUGUUUGAUAGUAAUUGACUUUUUAUGAAAGAAGAUGUGAUGAUUAACAUAAGAUAAAAUAGGACCAUGUUGGGAGAAUGAAUUUAUCCUAAAUUGGUUAAGGAUGCCCUAUGAGUGUAAUACACUAAUGAUAAGGUCAUUAGACAAGCACUAAUUAAGUAGCUUUCUUAAUGGUAUGUAGUUAGGAAUAGCUUAGUCACGAGACUAUAGUGGAAUGACUUCAUGACUAGAUAAGUUUAUAAUUAAUAAGCGAAAAGUUGAAAUUUAAUUUAUAAAUUAUUUGAGCCCUAAUUACAUAUGCCCAAUUGAUCCCUCUACAAGUUCUUUGAAACCAAAAAUGAAUUGCAUGUAAAAUCAAAUGAAUAGAAAUGAUGAAGUUAAAGAAAUGAGUCGCAUUCACAAAUGAAUGAAUUUUAUCACUGAUUUUAAAAAUGACUUGAGAAUUAAUUUAAUGUCUUCAAAUUAUCAUUUAAUUAAUUUUAAUUAAAUAAUUUAAGUUCAAAAAUAGAAUUAAAUUAAUUAUUCAGUAUUAAUCCAUUGAAUAUGUAAAUUAAAUAUAUUUCAUACUAGUUUCUUUUAUAGUAAAAUUGUCGUCACUUUAUUUUAUAGUAAAAUCGUCAUUACUUUGAUGGAAUUAGAAUUGAGUUGAGAAAAUUAUUUACUUGAUAAAUUAAUUAAGUAAAUAAUAUUUUUUGGGGAAUAGAAAACAAAUAUUGAGUUGGAUUAAAUUAUAAAGUGUUGAAUAAAAAGUCUAGGAAGCACAUAUAAUUGGACCUAAUACAUGAGAGGUCCAAUUCUUCUCAUUUUACAUAUGAGGGACAACAACCCUAGUGUUUUUAUCUAGGGUGUGUCACCCCCUUUUUCUAGUUAGACAAAGAGAGUUAUUAUUAUUAUUAAAUAUACAUUUUGUGUUAUACUUAUUCAACCAAGAUUCUCCUAUCUCAUUCUAUAAAUAGAUGGCACUGGUAAAGCCAUUAACACAUAAGUUUCAAAUAUUGUUCUUAUGUCAAAAAGUAUAAAAUUUUAUUUUCUUAGAAUUAAAUUUUAUUUUUUGAAAAUAAUAAUUUCUACCGGUUUCUAUUGAGAGAAUUACUUUUCUAUUGAAAGUAAUAAAUCGUUUUUAUUUUUUUGUUUGGUUCUUGUUAUUCGAGUCCACACUCGAUGUCAUUCGAGGUACGAGGAUAGUGGAGAAGGUCGUUCGGUUGAAAACUGAGAACGUUUUGGAUUUGUCUUGCACAAAACAUUGAUAAUUUUCGAGAAAAUAUUUACUACUAUAAAUAUCACAAACCGUCUUGAUUUUAAAAAAAUUUAGACUUUUGUUGUAACCGAAAAUAGUUUAAAUAACCAAAAUUUUUCAACAGAUUGCUGAGUUAUUAGUGGGGCUACCACCUAUGAGAGGUGGGUUUUGCAUCUAACUUCACGGGUAAAGAAGUGGUGCAAACUGGGAAGUUAAAUCGAGUAAAUGCUACGAGCGAGGUACAUCGCAAACACUUAUCUAGUGUUUUUCAUUAUGACUUACCAUUUCUUUCGCAAAGACACAGGGGACUUUUUAGAGUUUUGAAGCAAGUAAGUCAAUGGGCUUACAAAACGGAGUUGGCGGCAAUACUCAAGGUUAACCAGUGUUCAAUGUGGGCAUGACAGAGCCUAUUUGUAUGGAUCAAAGGGAUCCCUAAUCAAGGAAAGUCACAAUAGGGGCAAGUAGGAGUGGUGGGCUCUUGCAAAUGAAGUGUAAAAAUAUGAGGAAUAGUUUGAGUUAGACGACGAAAACAUAAGAAGAGGUAAAUGCUCUAUUGGAUCUGGUUCCCUAAAUGUAGUAUUUUCACCUAUGUAUACAUGUAAUUUUUUGAACAGAUUGGUUAAUAAAAUUAUUCAUGAAUUACAUUAAUAGUUUAUAUAUUUUCCUUACAAUUUUUUUGCAAGUAAAGCAAAAUAAAAGAAAAUGUUGCUCACUAGUUGUCUAAUGUUUAACUAAUACUAAGUGGUAUUACGUGGUUGGAUUAUAAUACAAAAAGACAACUUAUAUUACGUGGUGGAAUGACUUCGUGACUAAAUGAAUUUAUAAUUAAUAGGUGAAAAUUGGAACUUAAUUAUAAAUCAUUUGAGCCUCAACUGUAUAUGUCCAAUCGGUUCCUCCGCUAACUUGUUGAAACUAGAAAUGAAUUGCAUAUUGAAUCAAAUUUGCAGAAAUAAAUAGAAAUGGUGAAAUAGAGAAAUAGAAAACAUUUGGAAAUGAUUAAGGUUUUAUCCAAAAUGAAAAUGAAAAUGUAGAAAAUGUGGUUUUCUCCAAAAUGAAGAUGGAAAUAGAAAUGGGAAUGAAAAUGAAAAUGCGAAAUGAACAAUAAUUUCUCAAAAAUGAUCAUAAGAUUGAGUUUAUGUUUUCGAGUAAUUUCAAAGCUUGAAAAUUGAAAAUAAACUAUUCGAUCAUAAUGAAAAAGUUUAAUUAUGAAAUAUUAAAUACAAUUUCAAAAAUUUUACCAAGGGUAAAAUCAUCAUAAUUUUAUUGAGGGUAAAUUGGGAUGAGAAAAUCAUUUAAUUUAAAUAUAUUGAAGUUUAUCUUCAAAAAUAGAAAAAUAUAAUUGGAUUGGAUCAAAUUAUAAAGUACUAGGUCGAAAAGUUAGCGAAGUACUCGUAAUUAGACCUGAUGUGAAAGAGGCCAAAAUCCUCUCUUGGAAUAUGAAGGGGCAGCAACCCUAGUAGGAAUACUAGGGGAUGCGUCCACCCCACUCCUACUCUAAGUAGGAAGUUAUUUUUCUAGUUGAAAUAAACUUCUACAAUUCAACAAGGUUCUACAUUCUCUUCUUAAAAAUAGAUGGCACUGGUAGAGCUAUUUACACAACUUUUGGAUAUCGUUAUUCUACCCGAAAAUAGAACGACUUCUAUUCUCUAAGAAAUAAAUAUAUUUUCUGGAAUAAUGAUUCUGCUGAUUUCUAUUUAAAAAGAGAAUUUUUCAUUUUAACCACAAAAGAAAAUAAAACUAUUUCUAUUUUUUGUGUUUAAUUCGAAUUGUUCGAACCCAAACUCGAAGCAAUUCAUGGUACAAGAAUAGCGGAGAAGAUCAUUUGGUUAAAAAUCGAGAACGGCAAGGAUCCUUUUAUUCGAAAACAUAGGUAUGGUUUCAGUCUAGGGUUUAUUGCUAUAAAUAUUACAAACUGAGUCAAUUUUUAAAAUUUUUAUUCUUCGCUAUGCAAGAAAACCAUUUUCGAACUAGAUUUUUUCCAACAUGUUCUAAGGAAAGGAACUACCCAAUACAAAGACUAGUUAGGAAUCAGCCAUGACAUUCAGGAAGUUCUUGGAUGAGUUAAACUAGUGUUAUUUCAAAAAUACAAUGAGGGCGUCGCGAGAAUGGGUGGGAGAAAUUUUCACGAGUCAUAGAUGAAAGCCCAUGACCAUUGCGCAUAGAAUUGGCCACAGAGGUCAAUUCUAGGCUCAUUUAACCCACACAAAUUGGCCUGAUUCGUGGAACAAAUUAAGAAGCCCAUCUACUUAAAACCUUGGUGGCCCAAUGAAACACUCCAGUAAAAUUAGAGUUACUAUGGUGAAUAUUUGUAAUCCUAAGGGAUAAGAUUAUAUAGAGUUUAAAUUCCUUAAGACUCUAAUAUUAUAGAUAGGCUCCAAUGAUACUAUUGUUUCGUACUAUUAUGGAAGAAGAUUCAAAUAUGUUAUUAGGUGUUCCAUUUUAUUUUCCCAUUAAGGCCGAACCUAAACAUGUGCUCAAGAGAUAGUUAUCCAUACACUGAAAAGGAUAUAAGGGUUAUUGAGAAGAGAAGAGUCAUGGUGGUCCCCUUUGGAUCGCCCAGAUCCCAUGAGUGAAUAAAAAGUUGGAUCUAUAUUGGAUCUCACCUCGAUCGUCAAUGUAAUUUAAAUUGUAUUAUUGGAUGUGAUAGGUGCUUAACUAUAAAUAGAGGUCUUCUCCCUCGUUUGUAAUCAUUCCAUUUUGCACUCAAUGUAAUUUAUUCAGAGUAAUAGAAUACUUUGAGAGCAUUUAUUCAAACACUUGGUCUGCAUUUGCCUCCUUGUGGGUUUCUAUUCAUUCAUUGCUUAUUCGCUUGAGAGUCUACUUUUGCUUAUUGUCAUCAAGUCGAGUGAUACUAGACUCAGUCAACCCCUUAAUAAUAUUAUAGAUGAGUAAGGAUUGUAUGAAACUGUGAUUCCACGUCAUCUAUGUCACUUUCCAAUAGGAGAAUGACAAAUCAGAUUUUUUCUCCUGAUUUUUAGCAUUUUUAGUUGGAUUUGAAUUCUUUUAGGAGAAAAAAUCUAAUUUGUCAUUCUCCUAUUGAAAAGGGAUAGGGAUGACGUGGUUUCACAAUUUCAUACAAUUAUUUCUAUAUUAUAGAUAGAUAAAUAGAUAAAUAAUAGACAUUAGAUUAGUAACACUAAGAAUAUAGGUAAAGAAAAGAAUUAUAUUAAAAAUGUAUUUAUAUAAAAUUUAUUCAACUAUUGAAUCAUAGGUGGAGUGAUAAAUUAUUUAGAUAUAAAUUAAUUUUGGGUUUAAUCCCUAGAUAUUUAGUUUCUAAUGGUGAUUUCUAAUUUGUUUUAUUUAAGCAUUUUUAUAAAUAAGAAAAUACAAUUAUAAUAAUAGUUAUCACUUUUUAAAAAUUUGAAUUGAUGGCUUGAAAUACUAAAUUCAGUAAAAACUAUUAUUACAGUAUAGAUACUGUACGUUCCAUACUUCUGGCAAAAACAGAUGUAAUAAUAAUCUAUACUACCAAAUAGAAAAGGAAGUCUCUAAAGCCUUCCUGCAUGACAUUUGUCCAUUGCCUUUUUUGGUUAAACCCUUUAAAAUGAUUUAAAUUUAGUUUUGAUUUCUACACUUUUUACAAAAUUUGAGAUUUAUUAUUUAUAUUUUAGUUUUGAUAUGAUUUUUAUAAUAUUAUCAUUUAGUUUAAAUAUUUUAUUUGAAUUAAAAUAUUAUUGUAAUUUUUUUAAGAAUUGUUAAUACAGUUAAUGUUUUUCUUUUUCUUUUUUUGUUAAUAUUAGGUUCAUUAAAAUGGUAUUUUAACAAUUUUAAUAACUGAAUUUAAAUUUUUAAUUUCAAAAAGUAAUUCUAAAUUUUAAAUAUACAAAAAAUAUAAAAACUUAAAAGCAUAUUAUAAUUUAUAAAUUUUUACUUUAUAAUUUAAUAAAAAGAAUUAAAUAAUUAAUCUAAUGAGAAGUCCAUACGAGUGAAAUAUUAAUCUCUGAAGAAUAAUCAAAUAUUCAGGAUUAAGUAUAGUAAUGGUAACAGAACGGAGCGGAUUUUUGCUUACUCUGGCUUGAUGUUCUACCACCAUGUCCCAACCUGAUCCUAACCUCAAAAAAAGAAAAAGAAAAAAGAGUUAACUUGCCUCGAAUCUGCACUAAAAAAUAAUUGUAUAUCCUACCAGAAUUCAAUUUUUUUUUUGAAUUUGUAAUGAAUUAAUUUUAAAAAAAUGGCACUACUUCCCAUUGAAUUUGUUGCGUUCUUUUUUCUUUCUAACUUCGAAUUUGUUGGGUUCAUGAUUUACUUUUGGAGCUACUGUGAUUUACAACAAAAACAAAUCUUGAGAUGCCUAAGUAACAUUUUGUGAAUGUUUGUGUGGGUGCGAUUUACAUUAAAAAGAUGAAAAAGAUAGGGAAAAUAAAUUGGUAUGAAAUGAAAGUAAAUCCAGUAAAAUAAUGUUAAUUUUUUUUAAAUAUAAUUAAUAUUAAAUAUAUAAAAGGACAACACGAAAUGCGGGGAUUUCACACUAAACCCAACCUUACACCAAUCCACCGGAAACCUGAUUUAAAAAAAAAAAACUGGAUUCAUGUACUCAAAACUUUUGGGUUGGUGGUCUUUUCCGUCCCUAAACUUUAUAGUUGAAAAAUUAGUGAUAACUACGAUCUCAAUUUGCGUAAACCAACGUGUAAUUGAGUAAAUAGUGGAACUUACUACAUCCAGACAAACAACAAUUGGGUUUGAAAUUGGCAUCUUAUCAUUCGGGAAAGUUGAAAUUCCAUUUUACUUCAUCACAGGCAGACAAAAAUCCUAAGUCGCCUAAUUUGACUAUUCAGCUUUGCAUCACAACUUGUAUAAAUGUAUAGGUUAUUCCUUAUAUUUAUUAGUUUGAAUUAAAUUAUUUAUUUAAUCAUUUUAUGUUGUAUAAUUCGGAAAAACUUGGAUCACAAAAUUUCAAUUUAAUGUCAAUAAAGAAAUUUUGAAAAUUUAACUUCAAGUUCCACCCAUUUAUAAUCAUAAAUUAUAAAUAAUAAAUAAGAAAAUUAAGAUGUUAUGUAAGAUUGCCUGGGACACGACCGUGUGAAAUUACUUUGAAUGUUACACGGUUUCUCACAUGGUUGGCCACACGGCCAUGUCCCUGAGCCACACGGCCAUGUGACCUCUAUUUUCAAAUUUUUCAAAAUUUUCUGUUUUUGUUUCAAAAUGGUCCUAGAAUGUUUCUAAAUUAUUUUUAGGGUCUCAUAGGCUCGAUUUAAAGCCAUUAAGUGUAUAUUAUUUUAUAAAUGAAUUGUGUAAAUGAAUGUUAGAAAUUAAAUUGAUUUAUUUGUUUCUAUUUGGGAUUUAAUGUUCGAAUUGUACUAUAAUGCUGCACAACUCUAAUCCAACAACAGAGACGGGAUAGGGGUGUUACAUCUAAAAUGAACUUUUUAACUUCCCAUUGUAGUUUUUGAGAACAAUGUCAAACACCUUAAAUUAACAAAUCACACUUUUUCACAACGCUUUUCUGUUGCACUUUCUAAAAGCACUUUUUCUAAACUGAGCUUUUCAAAAGCACUUAUCAAUUGCACUAGAAAUGUCAAAUUGGCCCUUAGCAUGCUUUAAAGUGCUCUUUUAGUGUGCUUAUUAGAUCCUAAAGGCUAUCUAGUACCUCUUCAAGAAAGAUUGAAGGUUGAUUUAGGUAAUUUUAGCAUAAGACUUGUGUCUAAGGCCACAAGUAACAUUCCUGGUAUUUUUCGAGAAGUGAACAAUGUCAAUUUGGGUUCAUAUGUACUCAAAAUUUUCAAAUAUGAAAAAAAUAGAAUUAAUAAUAUUAAUAGAAAAGGUGAUUGGACAUUUUAAGAAAUUAAAAGGACUUCUGAAUUUAGGAAAUUUAAUUCAAGGAAUUUACUAAAUUGUAAAAGUGUUGGGCUAUAGCAUUAAAACUAAAAAUAUGAAAUAAGUAGAUAAUAAGGAUUGGAAACAUAAUUAUAACAAAAGGGAGUGAUGUGAAAGGAUGAUGGAUAGAUUUUUUUUAGAAAUUAUUAAACUAAUGAACAAUAAUGUUUGGAUGUUCAAAUCCUUAUGGUUUUAACUAUUAAAAACUAACGUGAUUGAUGAAAUAAUUAAACAAUUACACGUAGCGUGUCAAAUGUACCUUAUGUGAAAAUUUUAAAAUUUUCAUAAAACUAAAUCCAUAUUGUGUUAUCUAUGACAAUAAAUUUUAUCAAAAUUAGUACUUGUGUUUUGGAAUCACAAGACUCGUCGAAUUCCUGACUUUCUACCAAAUGAUCUUCUCCGUUAUUCUCGAACUCUCGAUUGGUAAGAGAGUAAGCUCUUAACCCAAACUGAUCACAAAACAAAAAUAAUAACUUUCCAGUGGGAAAAAUUCAACUUUCUUUAGGUCAAAACAUAGAACCGAGUACUUAGAAAAUUUAGAUAUUAUUUUUUAACUAGUAAAUUUUUCUAAAUCUUGAUAGAGUGUCCAUGUAUAUGAUGCGUGUGUUUUUGGGUCACCCAUGGCCCCUUUAUAUAGAAAAAAAUCAUAAGAUUUCUAUUUGAACAGGAGGAGAGGAAAAAUAAUAUUUUAAUAGAAAACUCAGAGUCCCUCCAAGAUAACAUAUGGUGGGCGGCACUGGCACUUAGGGAUAUCAGUGUGCCAUCCAUCCCUUCUUCAAGAUAUGUUGUUUGAGCUUUUCAUAUAUGGAGUACAAUUAUAUAUCUAUAAACAAAUUUUAAUAUUAAUUAAAACAAGCUCAUAUAAUUAUCCAACCUAAUAAUCAGUUUUCUAUUCCCAAAAUAUUAUUUAUUUAAUUAAUUAAAAAUUAAUUUAUUUUCUCAAUUCAGUUUUAAUUUUGCCAAAGUAAUGAUGACUUUAUCGUAUUAAAAUUUAUGAGUAAAUAAAUUUAAUUUUCUCAUUAAGUUAAAAUAUGAUGACUGAUUAAUUUAAUUUUCAGUUUGAACUUCAAUUAUGUAAUUAUAAUCAAUUAAAUGACAAAUAAAAGAAACUAAAUUAAUUUCUAAGUCAUUUUUUUGUUCCUUUUGAGAAAAUGCUUACUGCAAAUAGUAAUUUAUGCAAUAUAUUUCUCUUUCAUUGUUUUCAUUCAUUCAUUAUAUCAGUUCUAAUUGCAACCAAUACAAGGUCGUGUUGAGUUGGCAGAGGGAUCGCUUGGACAUAUAUAUUUAGGGCUUAAAUAAUUUGUAAUUAACUUUCUACUCUUCAUCUAUUAGUUACAACAUUAUUUAGUAAUGGAGUCAAUCCACUAUAAGUACCAUGAUUGAUCUCUUCAUUAUAUACUAUCAUGAAAACAACCUAGAUUUAUGCUUUGUCCAAAGAUCUUGUCAUUUGUGUGUUAAUCUUUUAAGAUAUUAUUAGUCUUUUUGGGUUGUAUUCGUUCACUCAAAUAUAAUCAUAUUUUAUCUCAUGACCACCAUUGCAUUUUCCAUGAUGAAAAAAGAUUAUUACUAAUGAAUUAGAAUAACAAUCAUGUGUUCCCAUCGAAUAACCCGUGAUCACAUUUCCUUUUUCUUAAUUCAUGCAAUGUCAAUGAGAGGAUAUCAUUUACUUUUUUAAUUAAGCUAUGAAUUCUGCUAUUGUAAGAAAAUUCAUGCCAUACAUAAUGUUAUACCCAACACAUCAACUUUCAGCUCUAACAAUGACUAAGCUUAAGCUUUCAACAUGCCAGUUACAUACGCACAAUCAGUUAUUUACUUAGAAUUGAGAUAAACCACACUAUGAACAUCAAAAGUGAAUUUAUCUAUAAACAAAUUUAGGGUUAAUUCAACUUGGGCCUGGUCUGAUGUAUUGCCAAGCUAGAAAACCACACACGUCUUUAUCUUUUUGGGAGUCAUACGCUCUGAUACUUAAAACAAGAUAUCUUUCCAAUUAGACUGAAUAGAUGACAUAAUAGCCCCUUGAAUUAGUUUCUCAUUUUGAUUUGUCGGACUACAAACUAUUUAGAUUACCUACUAAUAUAAGUUUUCUUCCUACAUUAUAAUUCAUCCCUAUAAUGCAACUUAGUUUUAGUUAAACCUAAAGUAAUUAGUGAGCCAAUAUUUUCUUAGUUCAUUUUUUUUCAUGCAAAAACUAGAGAGGACAAAAUAAGAAAUACAAUAAUUAAACUAUGAAAUAUUAUUAACCAAUCUGGUAAAAAAAUCACAGCAUUAUGAUAAAAUAAUUGCACUAAGAGCACAAAAUCUCAACACAAUCACCUUAGCCAAGCACUUUUUCGGCAUGUCUCAUGCAUUGUAAUUAUUUUUACAUGAUUUGAAGAGGCAACAACUAAUGUCUAAUUUGUUGAAUGCCAUAAUAUGAUAAUAUCUUAGCAUGUAAAUAAAUAUCCCUUUUAAGAUAGACCUUUAUUUGAAUAUGAUAAAUAUCUAGUAUCAGCAUAACCAACUAAUAAAGAUGAAUCACUUGAAUAAAAUAACCUCAUAUCAGUGGUUCCCCUAAGAUAUUUAAAUAUAUGUUUAAUUUAAUUCGAAUGUCUAUAUAUUGAAAAAGAGCUAAAUCUUGCUAACAAGCUUACAACGAGUGCUAUAUCAAGUUGUGUGUUAUUUGCAAGAUACAUUAAUGGCCUUACAACACUUAGAUAUGGUACUUUAGUGCAAAGAAACUUUUCAUCAUUCUCACAAGGAUGAACCAAGUCUUUAUUCACAUCAAGUGAUUUUACAACCAUCAAGGUACUCAAUAGAUGUUCUUUAUCCAUGUAAAAUUUCUUUAAGAUCUUUUUUGUAUAAGUUGGUUGAUGGAUGAAUUUCAUCUUUUAUAUGCUUGAUCUACAGGUCAAGACAAAACUUUGUUUCCCAAUACCUUUCUUUUCAAAUUAAUUCUUUAGGUAAUCUAUUGCAUUUUAAAGCUCUUUGUGAGUUCUAGUAAUAUUUAAAUCGUUAGAAAAAUAAUAAUUAUCACAAAAUCUGAUCAAGAACUUUUUAUAAAAACAAAUAGGCAAAUUAGAUUAUUUUUAUAAUAUUCUUUCAACAACUAUUCACUAAAACGAUUGUACCACAUAUGACUAGAUUAUUUUAAUCCAUAUAAGGAUUUCUUUAAUCUAAUUGAGCAAUUUUCCUGAGAAUCUCUAUAUUCUUCAAGGACUUUCAUAUAAACUUCAUCAUCUAAUGAGUUAUACAAAUAAGUUGUAAUAAAAUCCAUUAGACACAUAUCAAGUUUUUCACAUAUUGUCAGACUAAUAAGAUAUCUAACAUAAUUGUAUAUACCAUAGGAGAGUAUGUAUCUCCAUAAUUAGUUUUGAGCUUUGUGAAAAUUCUUUUGCUACAUAUCUCCAUAAUUAGUUUUGAGCUUUGUGAAAAUUCUUUUGCUACAAGUCGUGCUUUAUAUAUAAUGAUCUCAUUUUUCACAUUCCAUUUUUUCACAAAUUCGCAUUUGUAUCUUACCAAGUUUAUAAUCUCAUUUGCAUUCAAUCCACAAAAUAACUAUUAUUUAGACGCCUUAGGUAUAUGCCGACACAAAAGAUAGACAUCACUACAUUUGAGUCGAGAGUGUUGUUGGAUGCUGAAUUGGUGAUCAAAAUUGAAGUACCUAAUCUGCACAUGGAAAACAAAAUAGUACGCUGAGUAAAACUCAGUGGUAUUUUUAUAAUUCAAAUAUUUAAAGACAAUAUAAUGUAAUAUGCAUAUUUUAAUUAUAAGCACAUUUGAAUAUUUAAGACCACAUUUAUUCAUACAAUGACAUUAGCCAUUCAAUAUUCAAUUCAUAAAUACAUCAUUUCAUAUUAUUCUCAAAUCUCAUCACUUGCUAUAUAAUAGCUUUUCACAAUUUAAUAUAUAUCAUUUAAACAAUAAUAUUAUUCAAACCAUAUCCAAUUCAUGAAUACGUAAUUCAUGUGUCUCAUUUUCAUGUUUCAAUUCACUAUCCCAUUUUUAUUCACACAAAAUAUCAUUCAAUAUCAAUAAUAGUACUAUUUUAUUUAAUUACCCCUAUUAACACGACUCAGACUCGGACGGAUACACAGAUCCAACCAAUACACCAGUUCGGCACCCAGUGCAUUAUUGGAUAAAUCUGAAGUAAUAACUGCGCCCAGCGCUACAUAAAUUUGACACCCAGUAUCUCAUCGGUUAAACCAAAGCAAAUUGGCACCCAGUGCCUCAUCGACUCAAAGUCGAAGAAAUCCUUGAACUCUUCCAAGCCUAUGGCAUGCCAUCUAUAUCAGGCUCAGCCUGAUACAGUUAAUAGGGUUUAAUUUCACUUUCCAAAUACAACUAAUAUUCAAUUAUCAUAUUUGCACAUAUAUAUUCAUUUCAAUUCAAAUAAUCAAUAUAUUCAUAAUAUAUAUAUCAAUUCAAUCCAUUUAAUUAACUUUUAAUUCAAUUCAAUGUCAAAGUGCUAAAUACUCACCUCAAUACUUACCAUAUGUAUUAAAUAAAAAAUACAACAAUUAAUAACUAGUUUCGGAUUAUAGAAAUACAAACCAAGAAUUCCGAGCUAUUUCACGUCAACUUUAUCUUUCUCUUUUUUAGUUGAGGUUUCCGGUACGAUGUUAGCUACGGGAUUAAAACAAUUAAAAUUUAUCAAUACAACAUAAUUCAAUUUCAUAUUGAAUAUUUCAAUUUUUAUUCAAUAUUUUCCUAAAUUCCAAUUUAAUCCCUAAACCGAGACUAAUUUUUAUUCUUCACAAUUAAUUCUAUAUUUUCAUAAAAUUUCCACUUUAAACUAAAUUUAACUCCCUAUUUUCACUUAAAUCCUUAAAUUUCAAAAUUUUCACAAUUUAGUCUCUAUAACUCAAAAUUUACAAUUCAUUCUACAAUUUAAUCCUUUUUCAUUUCUAACUUAAAAAUCUAUCCAUUUAAUCCCUAAUACUAAAAUUAUUCAACAUUAACAAUAUUUAAAAUCUCAAUAAUUGCUAAAAUUUCGACAUGAGUCGGGUAGUACUUAACACUGGGAUUUCAAAAACAUAAAAAUUACAAGAAAAUGGGACUAAAUUGACUAACCAAUUGAACUUGGAACUUUGAAACCCCUAAGUCGUAGGUUCUUCUUUCUUUCUCUUUUUCUUUUUCUUUCUUUCUCAUUCAUUUUGCUUUUGUCUUUCUUCAUUUAUUUUACUUAUUUGUUUCAUUAUAUUCACUUUAUUAUUAUAUUAUAUAUAUUUGCUUAAAUAUUAAGUAAAACAUAUUAUAAUAUAUAUUUUAACUUUAAUUUUUUAAUAAUAUACAUAAUAAUUUUACCUUAUGCUGCCUCACUAAAGAAGCAAUGAUAUAAUUUCUUCUUUAGUCCCUUUAAUUUUUCUUUAAUUUAUAAUUCAACUUUCACCCUAUAUGAAAUUUAGUCCUUAUACCUAAUUACUUUUAAUUCAUGCAAAUUCACUUAACCAAAACCUAAUUAACUACACAACUAGCUUCAUAAAUAUUUUUAAUAAAUAUUUUUGAGUCCGAUUUACGGGAACGGAGUUUCAAAAAUGCACUUUCUGACACCCCUGACUAUCGGGUCGUUACAGUUAGGACGACGAAUGGAGGAACGAGAAGAGGAAUAGGGAAAAAGGAAAAUGGAAUUCCAUUAAGAUACCGCUAUACGGUGUUACUGUGUGUAAGUCAUGAUGUGCGAAGCUUCAGGCCUUGCAGGGGACAUUUCAAUAUUCAAACAUCAAGCUUAAAUAUGAUAUGAAUCGAUAUCGACAUUUAUUAGGUUCCGUAAAGCAACAUCACGACCACAGCCAAUAGACUCUAUGAUGCGACAUCACGACGGCGAUAAGGUCUUAUGGGGCAACACCUCUAAAGAGGUCUAAUGUGUAAGACCAUAUCUCGACCAGUAUGGUCCUUGGGGACAAUAAACACGGGAUAGUCCGCUAGGAUAGUGAACACGAUGUCAUAGAUAGAGUGUGUAAGAUCAUGGCUUGACUAUGGCAAUAUAGAGAUAGCCCGUCAGGACAUUUAGAACGAGGUAGUCUACCAUGACAUUAAAUAUAGAGAAUAUGGCGUAAGACCAUAGCUCGAUUAUUAUAACAUAGAGAGUUCAUAAGGACAUCAGAUAUGGGAUAGUCCACCAGAACGAUAAAAGUAAGAAGUUUCCUAGGACAGUGAAUAAGGAAAUUCAUGUAAACAAGGAAAAUUACAAGUAUUGGCAGUCAAUAGCCAACUAGCAGAUUUGAGAAAACCGCUAAAAUGGAACAAAGGUAAUAGAAAUGGGAAAAGAUUGCCCCUUUGAUAAACAAGAGGAACAAUAAGGCGUAUGGCAACGACCGAGUUAAGAACUAUUAGGGGAAAGAUGUACCGUUAAUAAUUCAUGGAAAGACAAUGAAAGGGGAUCUAUCCGUAGGUUACGGUUAAGGAUCUGCCAUUAAGAACCUCCAUGAAGCCCUGCAUGCUAGUGAAAAUCCUUAAGAGGUUAUUGGGAAAUUCACUCUCGACAUAAACCUUGUCGAACUUAUAGUCUGAGCGGGGAAGAUUAAUCGUCUACUCUCUGGAUCAAUGAAUUGGUAAAAAGGGGUUAGUUAGAACCCAUCGGUAGGAGGAGACGCUAAAAAGGUUAGUCCAAGUAACAAUUACGUUUGUCAAGACUAUUCUUUUUUUAAGAAAGUCUAUUGUGAGUAUACCUGUUAAGGAGUAGUUUCAUGGGGAAAAUGUCAUACAAUAGGGAUUGGUAACUAGAGUGGUAAACCAAAUAUCAGUCUACUAGAAACUAUAAGUCCAAAUUGUCCAGUUGCAAACAGAUAUAUUACAUACUAAAACCAAUAUGUUGCAAAUAGGGCAGGUUACGAAGAAGUAAUCUGAAACAACUUUUCAACCCGAAUGUAGCGUGAAAUGAUAUUUAGUCUGCCAGAGUGGCAGAGGACCUCAUUAGUUAUCUCGACAGAUAGAGUGUUGGCAAGUCCUUCGGGACUCUGGUAAGUAAGGGGGACCGCCAUGGAUUAAAUAGAUUUGAAUAAUCACCUAGGAGGGAGCUACCUAAGGGCCAUUAGGAGGGUAGGCCGAAUGACUACCUUAUACGUACAUAGUGGAAAGAAGAAUCCACAUUGAGGUAUGAAUGAAAGAAAGAAUACAAAUACAGGAAGGGCAGAGUCCGUAGAUAUGACGAGUCAUCUAAGGAACCAUUGAAAUUAGUUAAAAGGUGACAGGAUGGUUUAUAGAAAGAUUGUUUAACAAUCUAAUCACAAUAGAUAAGUUCAAAAAACAAAUCAGAGACCGUCAGGUCAAGUUGAGAGAAGUUACCUAAAAAAUAAGUACGGAGUUAAUUGUAUUUAGUUUCCUUUCUUUUACUACCCCUACAAGGCAUGGUCUAUUUGUGAGAAAUCUAGUAAGAAACUCACAAAAUGCUUUUGGAACUUAUAGAAUUUUAACAUAUAGUUGUAGGAAUUCGCGGGAUAAGGAAUUCAAUGAGGGAUUAAGCCAGACUGUAUUAGAUCAAGGAUCUACGUCAGAAAGGUGUCAUGCACAUUAGAAAAAUGUGGUGCCUUCAAAGGUUUCACCUCAGGGUCAAAUUAUUGUAGUCGAAUAGUUCCCUUAGAGUUGAGAUUGGAGAUAGUAAACUUUUAUUUUGAAUUCGUUGUAUCUAUUGUAAGAAUUUUUAUUAACAAGUAAUACAGUUUGUUUUCAAUAUAGUGAGUUUAAAAUUUGUUGAUCAAAUUAGGUUCAUUUGUAGCACCAUAUACCCAGAUCCAGUGAUUGGGUUGUGUGAGGGUGUUACAACAUCAAGUGUGCCUUUAAUACAACCAAGUUUACAACCCUAAGGUUUAAAAAAAUGUCUUUAAAGUGCAUAAGUUGACUUGAGUUGGUGUUGGAAACAAAAUUGCCUCUGCAGUAUUUUUCACCCUGUUAAGCUUCAGUGUUGCGACAGACAAGCUUCGAUGUCACGACGUCUUCGAAAGUAGGCACAAUUUUGGCUUUGGAGUUCUCGAUGUCGUGACACAAAUUAGAUGGUGUCACAACAUCCUCAAUAGUAGCCUUGGUUCCUUCACUUCAACCAUCAACUGUAGAGUCACAACUUUAAAGGCUUAGAGUCGAGAUCGAGGCUCGAUUUCAUGACACAACACACUUGGUGUCACGACAUCCUUGAAAGACUGCUCCAGGUUGGUUUCUCGUUGAAGUUUUACUCCUCUGAGGUAAUGAAGGAUUAGUGUUGCGACAUCCUUUCAUUAGUGUCACAACACCCAAAGUAGUUGAUAUUUUCCUCAAGGUUUGGUCAUAGCCAUUUCCUUACACACACUCAAAUUAACCAUUAAAGUCCUAACAGCAUAGUUUUGCCAAUUUGGGUCUCAAAAGGAUUAAAAGGACAGAAAACUAUCAUUAACACUAAAAAGUAUAAGCGAACAAAAAGCAUUAAAAAGACUCGUCAAUUACUUGAGAACAAACUCAUCAAGUGUUCGCAAGAGCCUAAUUUGAUAUAUCAUAUUACGAUAAAUCAAUUUCUUAAUCUAUUUCUAUUUUGAAAGUAUUUUAGAAUAAUAAAUAUUUUCAUGAGUUAAUUUUGACCUAUAUUUUCUUGAGUUUUAUAUGUUUUUUUUUGUUUGUUUUCCAUUUCUUAUUAAGUAUUUUUCACUUUUAGAAGUUUUCGUCCACUCUUGUAGCACUUUUUUAGUCUUGCUUAUGAAUGUAGUCUCACUUUAUAAGUGAAUUUAGGGAGUAAGUGAAUUUAGGGAUGGUUUUUUCGUCGUCCUCUCUAGUUUAGUGGAUGCUCGAUUCUUUUGCUGAUUUUGCCCACCUGUCGUUUUGGACCAUCCAGGGCUAGUUUUCUUAUUAUGAUAGUUGCUUGCAAUCACUCUAGAUAUGUCAUGCUUGAGUUAUGGCAAAGCCGAUUGUUAACAUGUUGUAAUAUUCUACUAAUGUUGUGUUUGAAGUCUUUAUCGUGUUGAUAAAGCUUGUCCUUCAUUAUCGAUGAUGGGUAUUAAUUGUUUUUUUUUCUUGAUUUGUAUGUUAGUAGUUUGCAAUGUUAAUAGUCUCACAUUGCUAACAAAUUUAAGUAUAAAUUAUUUAAAUAUACAAUUCUUUGUAACCUGGAUAAUUGACUUAAGUGCCUAGCCCAUUGGAAAAGUGGACGAGUUUACCUAUUGGGCUUUAUAUAAAUAUUUUAAAGGUAAAAAUAUGUGCAUUUCGGACUCUUGGGAUUUAAUUGUUGGUGCAAAUAAUUUGUAUAUAUAUAAUUAUUAUUUUUUAUUGUCUGAAAUAAAUUAUAAUUAUUAUUUAUUUGCAUUUGAACAAUCUUAUUCAAAUAGACAUAAUUUCAAAAAAAAAAAGAAUCUUAAUGAAAAGCACGAUUUUUCUAAAAAGUUACAAUGUUACAGAAAAAUGUAACUUACACCAUAAGUUUUGUAGUAAGUGUCUAUAUAUAAAACUCAAAAAUAUCAUUUUCACUAUUCUAUUUUUGUUGUUGUAUUCUAGAGGCAAAAUUAAUAGUCUAUUUAUUUUCUUUUAAUUUUCUUUUCUUGCACCAUAAAUUUCUUUCUUGUACUAAAUUUUUUUUUAAUAUUGUAUGGUUGUAUUUAUGAAAUGAAUUAAUAAAUUUUUUCUUUAAAAAAUAAUUAUGUAUAAGCAUGUGAUAAAUUUGACAGUAACAAAGUAUAUGUAAUGCAACAAAUUACGCACUCAAAAAUAAAUAUAUAAAAUUCAUAAAUAAUAAGGUAAAUGUACGUUUUGAUAUUUGAACUUAGUUUUAGAGUUCAAAUUGGUACCUAAAAUUUUUAUUGGUAAAUGUAUGUCAAUUUGCUUUUAAGGUUCAAUUUAAUAGCUAAAAUUUAUUUUGGUCCAAAUAGGUAUGUGAACUUGGCUUCUCGGUUAAAAUUGGUACAUGAAUUUAGCUUUUUUUUUCAAAUCAGUACUUAAUUAUAUGGACCAAUUUGAACUAUAAAGCCAAGUUUAAAUGCCUAAUUAAACAAAAAAAAGUUUAAGUAUUAAAUUAAACAUUUAAAUGAAGUUUAGGUACCUAAAUAAAUAAUCUUAAAUACCAAUUUAAAUCUUGAAACUAAAUAAAAUAAAAUUUAUUAACAUAUUAUUAAGAAUAAAAUUAUUUGAGCCAUAACAAUUCAAGGAAAUCUCAAAGAAUCCUUGAGAAAUAAAAUAAAUGAAUCUUCUAUUUUUGCAAUUUUUAAAAAUUAUAUUCAUGAAAUUUAGAUAAGUUUUCCGUACUCCAUUGAUCUUUAGUAAACUUUUAAAAUGAAAUAAUUUUUUACUUAAAAAAUUAUUUAAGCAUACAACACUAAGAAUCUUUAGAAAAUUCCUAAAGUGCAGUCUGAAAAAUCCUUUAGUCCGACCUCCACCUCACGGAUCUUGAGAAUUUUUUUUUUUAAAUGAAAUAGAAUUUACAUUCUGAAUAUUUUUUAAUCCACAACACCCCAUGAAUUUUUAGAAAUUUUUUAACAAAUCACUUGGUUGGCACCUUGUAAAUCUUUUUAAAAACCGAAAUAAAAUUAUUUUUCGGAAAAUAAAAAAAUCAAUUUUAUAUUCCAUGUUUGGGCAAUAGACAUAUACACCACUCAAUCACAUACUAUUAGCUACAAUUUGAUAGUAAAAACAAGAAAAAGAAAAUCUCAAAUUUUAUACAACCAACACAAACUGCUGUAAAACUCCACAAUUGUUAAGAGCAAUCCAUUGUGGGAUUCACGCAAAUUGAAAUAAAUCCGCAUAUACUAGAGUUUGUUUCCUUUUUUCAUGAUGAUGUUGCAGAUGAGGGAGAAACAGUGAAGGGUUCUUGUUCUUCACAGGUGAGCAUAUCAUGAGGACCAGCUUCUUCUCGGCCAACUCCCAAAAGGUCAAGGUAAUAAAGGUAAUGAGAGAUCAUAUUGUUCAUGGAAUCACUAUCACCUUGACCACAAACUUGGUCACCAUAAAGAACAUUCAUGGUGGUUCCAAAACCUGGAACCCUCUUGGCCAAGGUGUCGUUCUUGGUUGGUUUCCAGUUGCCAACGAAAACGUCAUGGGCUGAGGGUUGGUGUUUCUUCAUCGGCGUCAUCCACCUCCACAUUGCUGUCUGGAAAGCCAAGGUUGCGUUGUCUUCUAAGUAUUCUGGGUGGUUCAACAAGUCCACCUUCAAAGCCUCUCCAGUUUCCCCAUAGUUGUAGUUCCAGUAGAUAGGCAAGGCACCACGGCCAUGAUAUGAGACUCCUGGUGUGCAAGGAUAGGUGUAUUUAUAGUAAUCAUCGCAAUAUAUUUUGCUAGGGCUCAUUUCUUUGUUGUAGCAAAGACCCCAAGCCAAUGGUCCCCCGGUAGCGACUCCAUAGCCACCUGAAAUUAUUAUAAACCAGAGCCAUUGUUCAAGAAUAACAAACAGUUAGAUAAGCCACAUUCGUUUACAUUGCUCUUGGAUGAUCAAAAGUAAUAUUAAACACUUUUAACUAAGCACAUAUUUACUUACAUGAAGUUUUGCUGCCGACAUGUCCAAGAAAAGCAGCGACUUCCUUCAUAUUCUGGAGCUUUUCCCCGGUGGUACAAAAUCCAUGAGGCUGAUACUGAGCAGCAGCAGUAAUGAAGGAAUGGUAAUCCCAGAACCCAACCGCAUGUGCUACCGGCGUGUUACGCUUCGCAAAAAGGUCCUCAAACUGGUAAGUUUGGAAGUAAUCAGAAAUGGUAUGGUUGCAACAAUACUUUGACCACCCUUUACAUUCCCACCCUUUGUCACACAGCUUCUUGCCCUUUACCAUCUUCACCAAUGGCUUCAACGAUUCCUGGCAGUUGGCCAGUGCCACCAGCAUUGCCGCCACUGAAAAAAGAACCAGCCAUUUGGCUUCCAUUAUCAAAGAUACAAAGCAAAAU
rnacentral:lncRNA from 1 species